rnacentral:lncRNA from 1 species
CUUCAUCAUGGGGUUGUAAGGUCCACGAGGGCAGGGACCAAGUCUGUUUCACUAUGUGGUGUGUAUCUAGAACCACACAGUGUGCUCAAAAUGCACUAGGUACUUAACAAAUAAUCACUGAAGGGAUGAAUGACAGAAUCAGAUGGAAAUAGCCUACUGGAGAGGAAUAAACAUGGCCAUUCUUGAUAGACAUGUUGACUGAUGGACUGAGAGAUAUAGAUACAUGCCAUGAGAUCUCUUUAUGAGCAGUGGUCUUAUGGAUAUCUGCAUGACCUCUGCUGAAGUAAAAUACUGUGGUUCGUGAGAAGACGUGACCUUUGGAUACAGCUGGUCUAGUCCUGGCUCUGCUGUGUCAGUGAAAGUGGAACAGUUACAUGGCUCUCCCGAAUCUCUGUUUUCACUUGGUUAAAUGAGGGUUACAUGUACUUACUUCCAGUGUUGUUAUGAGAAUUAAAUGAGAUUAAAUGUUAAAAUUUGUGAGCGGUCAAUAUAUGUACUUCUUUUCUCCCCCUCAGUCUCUUAAGAAUAUUCUACACCAGUAUUGCAGAAUAAAGAAAAAUGGAUAUGUUAAUUUGUUUGAUAUAAUCAUUCCACAAUGUAUACAUAUAUCAGGUGGGGAGCAGUGGCUCAUGCCUGUAAUCCCAGCACUUUGGGAGGCCGAGGCAGGCAGAUCACUUGAGGCCAGAAGUUCGAGACCAGCCUGUCAACAUGGCAAAAACCUGUCUCUACUAAAAAAUUUAAAAAUU